ensembl:lncRNA
CCUCACCCUAACCAUUACCCUCACCAUAACCCUCACCUUGACCCUGACCCUAACCAUUACCAUAACCCUAACCAUCACCCAGACCCUUACCAUAACCCUUACCCUCACCUUGACCCUAACCAUUACCCUCACCCUCACCUUGACCCUAACCAUUACCCUAACCAUUACCAUAACCCUAACCAUUACCAUAACCCUCACCUUGACCCUAACCAUUACCCUCACCUUGACCCUGACCAUUACCAUAACCCUCACCUUGACCCUAACCAUUACCUUGACCCUAACCCUGACCCUAUCCCUGACCAUAACCCUCACCUUGACCCUGACCCUUCCAGCAAACCACUGGUUCCUGUGGAUGUGUCGAGAUCGAGAACACACCCUCACUAUCUUCUCUCUCUCCUAUUGGCAGUGGGAAGGGUCUAGCGUGCAUAAGCAGGGAAGUUCGAGGCUGACAGAGGUGUUUGUGUGUAUUGAGGGUGUGUGUCCCCCGUCCGUGUGUGUAUGGAGUGUGUCCAUUGCGUGUGCCCGUGUCUGUAUUGUGUGUGUCCGUGUGUGUGUGUAUUUAGUGUGUGUGUGUGUGUGUAUUUAGUGUGUGCCCGUGUCUGUAUUGUGUGUGUCCGUGUGUGUGUGUAUUUAGUGUGUGUCCGUGUGUGUGUGUGUAUUUAGUGUGUGCCCGUGUCUGUAUUGUGUGUGUCCGUGUGUGUGUGUAUUUAGUGUGUGUCCGUGUGUGUGUGUAUUUUUAGUGUGUGUCCCGUGUGUGUGUGUAUUGAGUGUGUGUCCGUGUGUGUGUGUAUUGAGUGUGUGUCCGUGUGUGUGUGUAUUGAGUGUGUAUCUGUGUGUAUUGAGUGUGUCCGUGUGUGUGUGUGUGUGUGUGUAAUGAGUGUGUAUGUGUGUGUAUCCGUGUGUGUGUCCGUGUGUGUGUGUAUGGAGUGUGUCCAUUGUGUGUGCCCGUGUCUGUAUUGUGUGUGUCCGUGUGUGUUUGUAUUUAGUGUGUGUCCGUGUGUGUGUGUGUAUUUAGUGUGUGUCCGUGUGUGUGUGUAUUUAGUGUGUGUCCGUGUGUGUGUGUAUUGAGUGUGUGUCCGUGUGUGUGUGUAUUGAGUGUGUAUCUGUGUGUAUUGAGUGUGUCCGUGUGUGUGUGUGUGUGUGUGUAAUGAGUGUGUAUGUGUGUGUAUCCGUGUGUGUCCGUGUAUGUAUUUAGUGUGUGUCCGUGUGUGUAUUGAGUGUGUAUCUGUGUGUAUUGAGUGUGUCCGUGUGUGUGUGUGUGUGUGUGUAAUGAGUGUGUAUGUGUGUGUAUCCGUGUGUGUGUCCGUGUGUGUGUGUAUGUGUGUAUUUAGUGUGUGUCCGUGUGUGUGUCAGUGUGUUGUGUCCGUUUGUGUGUCUCCGUGUGUGUAUUGAGUGUGUAUAUCCGUGUGUGUGUCAGUGUGUGUGUGUCAGUGUGUGUAUUGAGUGUGUCCGUUUGUGUGUCUCCGUGUGUGUAUUGAGUGUGUGUGUCCGUGUGUAUAUUGUGUGUGUAAGUCCGUGUGUGUAUUGAGUGUGUAAGUGUGUCCAUGUGUAUUGAGUGUGUUAGUGUGUUGCACAGGGGGGCAAGUAUGCCCAGCACCUUGGGGGUAGAGUCAGGUUACUGGAACCCCUGACAACAUCCAGCCCCCCUUGUGUGUGUGUGACCCAGCAGCUCUACUGACUGACUAGUGGAGUCACAGAAACAGCGGGUGUCGCCUAGACUCAACAGGACACACUGACGUGUGUGUGUGUGUGUGUGUGUGUGUGUCCAUGCGUCUCACACACACAGUACCAGACCUGUGUUAAUAAGGGCCUUAUGUGGAAAUAAAGUACCUGCUUCUUUUACGUAAAAUAUCUUUCAUCAGGAAAACUGGGACCAUCGUUGAGUCCAGUACCGUUCCAUGUUAUUAGCUGUACAAAAAUACUCAAUACAAUCCUGUUAACAUAAUGGACGCACCUGAAACCUAUAAAUAUAGUAGUGUGUAUUGAAGUCUGAAGAGAAAUCUGUACUGACCAGUCUGCACCCCGUCUCUAGGACUUAUUGUUAUACAGCCAUACACAAGUGUUUAAG